rnacentral:lncRNA from 1 species
ACUGGUAAGUGGUAUGGAAUCUAUUCCUAAUCUCAUCUGCGUACAGUUUGUUUAAUUGAUUGGGAGUAGCCGGUAGUAUGCAAAUCAUGAAUGUUCUUUUGCUUCAAUGAGUUCUCUAGACUUUAUCAUCUAUUUUGAACAAUGGUUUACUUCAAAAAUAUAUUCACUUUGGUCUGCUUAUAGUCAGAGUCACAGCACUCAGUUUCCACUUAAAAUCAAUUAACUAGACAUACAUGUUUAUUCGACUAUUGAUGAAUUAAUUCACUAUCUUGGUUAAAGAUGCAGCUGCUGUCCACUCCCUAAUUGUGUGGUACUAUUUGUUUCUUAAGUACAUUAUCUAUUUAAUGCUCAUUCAUGUUAGGGUUUACUUUCUGAGCAAUUCAAUUGAUUUACAGGAGUGGCUACAAAGUGCAAAAGAGGAUGAUGUCUUGGACCAUAUAUAACCUAGAUGUGAAGUCGUUACCCUCCAAGUCACUUAGAUCAGGUUAUAUUGUUGACAUGCCAUGAGUUUGGCUAAUUGAGAUAAGGUCUUUCAAUUAUACUACUUUUUAUCAGAUUAAUAAGGUGUCCAUAGUGUUUCCUUACAUUUGGGUAAACACACAGAAUGAUGUAUAUAUAUUUAACCCUGCUAUAAAUGACACUUCUAUCUGAAUGACAGCUGACCAGUUUGGAUGUGGGAUUUGCUAUAUAUGCUAGAAAAAAAUGCUUGCACCUUUAGUUUGAUCGAGAGAUAGCAAUUGGAGCCAUUACUUUCAGUGUUAAUGGCACUAAACACAUUUGAUAUACCAAUACUCUCUGGGCUGCAGGAUGAAACAUUCAGGGGCUCACAUCUGCAUCAGGUUAGGAGACAUUCACUUAACUGAUCAUGAAUUUAAC